AGUGAACGCUGGCGGUAGGCCUAACACAUGCAAGUCGAACGGUAGCACCGUAAGAGCUUGCUCCUACGGGUGGAGGGUGGCGGACCGCUGAGGAAUACAUCGCAAUCUACUUUUUCAUGGGGGAUAAAGUAGGGAAACUUACGAUAAUACCGCAUACGACCUAGGGGUGAAAGCAGAGGAUCUUCGGACCUUGCGCGAUUGCAUGAGCCGAUGUCGGAUUAGCUAGUUGGCGGGGUAAAGGACCACCAAGGCGACGAUCCGUAGCUGGACUGAGAGGAUGAUCAGCCACACUGGAGCUGAGACACGGGCCAGACUCCUACGGGAGGCACCAGUGGGGAAUAUUGGACAAUGGGCGCAAGCCUGAUCCAGCCAUAGCGCGUGGGUGAAGAAGGGCUUCGGGUUGUAAAGCCCUUUUGUUGGGAAAGAAAAUCAGCAGUUUAAUACCCCGCUAUUCUGACGGUACCCAAAGAAGAAGCACCGGCUAACUUCGUG
rnacentral:rRNA from 1 species